CCUACGGGUGGCAGCAGUGAGGAAUAUUGGUCAAUGGACGAGAGCCUGAACCAGCCAAGUAGCGUGAAGGAUGACUGCCCUAUGGGUUGUAAACUUCUUUUAUAUGGGAAUAAAAUGUUCCACGUGUGGGAUUUUGUAUGUACCAUAUGAAUACGGAUCGGCUAACUCCGUGCCAGCAGCCGCGGUAAUACGGAGGGUCCGAGCGUUAUCCGGAUUUAUUGGGUUUAAAGGGAGCGUAGGUGGAUGGUUAAGUCAGUUGUGAAAGUUUGCGGCUCAACCGUAAAAUUGCAGUUGAAACUGGAAGGCUUGAGUACAGUAGAGGUAGGCGGAAUUCGUGGUGUAGCGGUGAAAUGCGUAGAUAUAACGAAGAACUCCGAUUGCGAAGGCAGCUCACUGGACUGCAACUGACACUGAGGCUCGAAAGUGUGGGUAUCAAACAGGAUUAGAUACCCGAGUAGUC
rnacentral:rRNA from 1 species